rnacentral:rRNA from 1 species
CGGGGGGGCGAAGCGUUGUUCGGAAUUACUGGGCGUAAAGGGCUCGUAGGCGGCCAACUAAGUCCGACGUGAAAUCCCCAGGCUCAACCUGGGAACUGCGUCGGAUACUGGAUGGCUUGAAUUCGGGAGAGGGAUGCAGAAUUCCAGGUGUAGCGGUGAAAUGCGUAGAUAUCUGGAGGAAUACCGGUGGCGAAGGCGGCAUCCUGGACCGACAUUGACGCUGAGGAGCGAAAGCUAGGGGAGCAAACGGGAUUAGAUACCCGGUAGUCCUAGCCUAAACGAUGAAUGCUUGGUGUGACGGGUAUCGAUCCCUGUCGUGCCGAAGCUAACGCAUUAAGCAUUCCGCCUGGGGAGUACGGCCGCAAGGCUG